rnacentral:rRNA from 1 species
GUCUACAGCCAUACCACCCUGAACGCGCUCAAUCUCGUCUGAUCUCAGAAGCUAGCAGGGUCGGGCCUGGUUAGCACUUGGAUGGGAGAAGAGGUUGAUUAGCAA